rnacentral:rRNA from 1 species
GACGAACGCUGGCGGCGUGCUUAACACAUGCAAGUCGAGCGGUAAGGCCCUUUCGGGGGUACACGAGCGGCGAACGGGUGAGUAACACGUGGGUGACCUGCCCUUAGCUCUGGGAUAAGCCUGGGAAACUGGGUCUAAUACCGGAUAUGACUCCAUGACGCAUGUUGUGGGGUGGAAAGCCUUGUGCGGCUAGGGAUGGGCCUGCGGCCUAUCAGCUUGUUGGUGGGGUGAGGCCUACCAAGGCGACGACGGGUAGCCGGCCUGAGAGGGCGACCGGCCACACUGGGACUGAGACACGGCCCAGACUCCUACGGGAGGCAGCAGUGGGGAAUCUUGCGCAAUGGGCGAAAGCCUGACGCAGCGACGCCGCGUGGGGAUGACGGCCUCGG